GACGAACGCUGGCGGCGUGCUUAACACAUGCAAGUCGAACGCUGAAGCUUGGUGCUUGCACUGGGUGGAUGAGUGGCGAACGGGUGAGUAAUACGUGAGUAACCUGCCCUUGACUCUGGGAUAAGCCUGGGAAACUGGGUCUAAUACUGGAUAUGACAUGCCACUGCAUGGUGGUGUGUGGAAAGGGUUUUACUGGUUUUGGAUGGGCUCACGGCCUAUCAGCUUGUUGGUGGGGUAAUGGCCUACCAAGGCGACGACGGGUAGCCGGCCUGAGAGGGUGACCGGCCACACUGGGACUGAGACACGGCCCAGACUCCUACGGGAGGCAGCAGUGGGGAAUAUUGCACAAUGGGCGGAAGCCUGAUGCAGCGACGCCGCGUGAGGGAUGACGGCCUUCGGGUUGUAAACCUCUUUCAGCACGGAAGAAGCGAGAGUGACGGUACGUGCAGAAGAAGCGCCGGCUAACUACGCG
rnacentral:rRNA from 1 species